AAAUAAAUUACGUAAACAAUUUAUAUUGUUCCCUUAGCAAUUAAUUAUUUUGUUAUGUUACAAAGAUUAGUUUCAAAAUGUACAUCAAAUGAUACUUCUUGAGUUAAUGUAGAACAUGAGUUAUCGUUAUUAUAUUAUUUGUUUCGAAAGUUAAAAUGUGCGUUUACGACGAUUUUUUUGUAAUUCAGUCUAAAACAUGGAGGACAGUAUUGUUUAGCCUUAAUCAACAGCACACGAUAACUAUCAAACGAAUUAAAUGUUUAAGAAAUUAAAGUUUGCAUUUUAAUCAAGGAAAAUAAUGACCAUACACAGGUCAUUAUUUUAUGCCUUGAAAAUUGGUAUAGUCC
rnacentral:lncRNA from 1 species